rnacentral:lncRNA from 10 species
GGAGAAUGAAAUCGGGUGCAUGUGACACUAAUAUGACCUGUUCAUGCUCUGUCACUUAAACGGAGUUAAGUAACAUAGCCCUGAGCAGGAAGACUCCUUCCCCACUUCUGUCCAGGAGCUCCUUACUCGAUUCUGGGGAACAGAAAGGCUUUCAGCGGCCAAGGGGAGUGACAACAGCCAGACAUGAGACACCUCCUAGAGCCCUUUGGUGUUACCCUUUCCGGUCCAUCAGCCACAGUGUCCACCCCAGGUAGCUGGGUCCUGAGUUCACCGUCUCAGGACAUUUUUCGACCUGGUUUGUCUGAAUUAUUAUUAUUAUUGAUCAUUGAGACAGGGUCUCAGUCCAUCGCCAAGACUGGAGUGCAGUGGUGUGAUCCUGGCUUACUCAGCCUCCCAGGCUCAGGUGAUCCUCCCAGCUCAGCCUCCUGCGUAGCUGGGACCACAGGCAGGCACCACCAUGCCUGGCUAAAUUUUUUGUAUUUUUUGUAGAGACCAGCUCUCGCUAUGUUGUCCAGGUUGGUCUCAAACUGCUGCCUCAGCCUCCCAAGGUGCUGGGAUUACAGGCAUGAGGGACCAAGCUCAGCAAUCUGAAUUAUUUAUGCAGAAUUUUUUUUUCUCUAGCUGGAAGAGCUGUUUAUAUGCACGUUUCUUUGGGGGCAACUCUUCUCCAUUGUCACAGAUUUUUUUUUUCCAAGCCAUUCCUGGGGGAUUCCUGGGAGCCAUGUGGGAGAGGCGUGAGGAAGUGAGACCUUCACCCCGAGACAGGUCCUGACACACCCUCUGGUGCCUCUACUCAAGUGAGGUGAGAGGGGAAACUGGUGUAUUUUUAGAUGAAGUUUCCUUGGGAAAUUGUUUCUAUUUUAUAUUUUAUCAGUAAUCCCCUGGCUAAUGUUUUAAACCAAUAUUUAUAACACUGCCUCAGAGCUUUGGAAUAAACAGAUUUCCAUAAAGAAAAGCUGCUUUAGAGUGCUACACUGUAAGAGGGGCCGGGCAAACAAGAAGGGACGGAGGAAAGACCACCAAGUGAGAGGCACAGGUGUCAGGACACACAGAGAGCCCGAAAACGAGGCAGAGGGUGUGCACCAGGGCUGAGCCGUCUGCUGG